rnacentral:lncRNA from 1 species
ACAUCAUAGGCAAUAUAGGAAAGGUGUACUGACAUAAGUAGUCUCUAAACACAUUAUCUCCAAAUGGAGCUUUCGUUAGUAGAAGCCAUAUUAACUAUGUGUAUCAGUGAGAAAAAUGUAAAAGCAUAAAAAUAUAGUAUAUAUACCAAUACACAUAAUUAACAGCGCCUGGUGAUGUUUCAUAGCCUGACCGGUUUCGGUCCAAAAAGGACCUUCAUCAGAGGCAGAAUGGUGGAUUAAUGUUUGCACCCUAUUUAUAUAGAUAUGGUAACCGGCGGUUCAA